GGGGGUGUAGCUCAGCUGGUAGAGCGCGUGCUUUGCAAGCAUGAGGCCAUCGGUUCGAAUCCGAUCAUCUCCA
rnacentral:tRNA from 1 species